rnacentral:lncRNA from 1 species
CAACCAAGGGUCCGGAAACGGUCAUAUAUGCCAGUCUUGACCUAAACUGAAAGUAGUUUGUCCUAAAUGAGUAAUUGGAAUUUAGGACAAAUUUUAUUUUUUUACAGAAAUAAUUUCGGUCAUUCAAUGUCAUUUCGUCAGAUCGAGUUUCUAACAUUGUCUAAAUCGCCAUUUUGAACUUAUUUUUUGUUAUUAUCCUUUUCCUGUAAUAAAACUGCCACUCCAGUAAAGUGUUAUAAUCCUGAGGGCCCUCCUAAUAACUAUAGUAAUGCCUCCGGGAAAUAUUGGCUAAUGAUCGCUGAUCUCUUUACCUGUGUUUUUAAUUAAAUUUUUUAUUGAUCACGAGCUCAGAACUAAUAUUUUAAAGAAAUUAAAAGUUCAUAACAACUGUCUGCAUUAUUUAAUUACUUUUCUCAGCUUAGACAAUUGUCAAUUCUGAUUUAAAAUUAAAUUAAAAUUAAAUUAAUUUAGUACGUAGAACAAAAUAUUGUUUCACUACAAACACACGUGCUUUGUUUACUAAUACGCAUGCUUGAAAUUCUCUUCCGCAAAUUAGACACUAAAUCGUAAAUUAAAAAUGAUUUCAUGCUAAAUUAAACAAGUCCAACUAUUAUAAUUAAUAUUCAAACACUAUUAAAGGUAAAACAGUUAAAAAGCCGACGAUUUCCUGUGAAUUUGAUAAACAAAACUAAUCCCGGAAAUGAGUCCGGAAUUGGUCGUUUUACUAUUGUCGUAAAACAUCCGGUUAUAAUUUUGUCUUCAAAAUCGAAACAAACGUAAGCGAAGUUUGAGAAAUUUAUCGUUUUGAGUCAUUAAAAUCAUUUCAUUUUUAAACUGGUGCCUUCCUUUUAUUGCUCAAGAUCGAUUUUAAGGAACAUGGUAGGGAAAUUUCUGAAGUAAAUGCGAUGCAACAGUUAAACAAGUUCGUUGAUGCUACGAGUAUGAACUGUAUGAGCAUACACACAAUCUUUGUUUAAAAAGGGCACCAACUUUUAAGUUAUCCCAAAAUGACCGAAAUUAGGUGAAAAAAUUUCCGGAUCCUUGGCAGCAACCAUUUGAUUUUCUGGGGGGGGGCUAUGGUUUUUUUUUCUGUGCAAACUUUUUUUUUCGCCUGCGGCGAAAAACAAUUUAUUUUUUUCGCGACAAGUCGAAAACAAUUUUUUUCUUUCAAUUUUAGCAUUACAUAUAGUGGCAGCUGAGGGUGAAACAAACAAUUUUUUUUUCUCAGAAUCAAAAACAAAUUAUUUUUUUCUCCAAAAACUGGAAACAAACUUUUUUUUCCAAAAAAA